AUUGAACGCUGGCGGCAGGCCUAACACAUGCAAGUCGAGCGAGCGGCGGACGGGUGAGUAAUGUAUGGGGACUGCCCGAUAGAGGGGGAUAAUACUGGAAACGGUGGCUAAUACCGCAUACUAUCGGAUAACCCAUAUGGGAUUAGCUAGUAGGUGGGGUAAAGGCUCACCAAGGCGACGAUCCCUAGCUUGUCUGCGAGGAUGAUCAGCCACACUGGGACUGAGACACGGCCCAGACUCCUACGGGAGGCAGCAGUAGGGAAUCGUGGGCAAUGGGCGAAAGUCUGACCGAGCAACGCCGCGUGAGUGAAGAAGGUUUUCGGAUCGUAAAGCUCUGUAGUUAGGAGGGGUACAAAAGAAAAAGCCACGGCUAACUACGUGCCAGCAGCCGCGGUAAUAG
rnacentral:rRNA from 1 species